rnacentral:rRNA from 1 species
UCAGGCCUAACACAUGCAAGUCGAGCGGCAGCGGGAAAGUAGCUUGCUACUUUUGCCGGCGAGCGGCGGACGGGUGAGUAAUGCCUGGGAAAUUGCCCAGUCGAGGGGGAUAACAGUUGGAAACGACUGCUAAUACCGCAUACGCCCUACGGGGGAAAGCAGGGGACCUUCGGGCCUUGCGCGAUUGGAUAUGCCCAGGUGGGAUUAGCUAGUUGGUGAGGUAAUGGCUCACCAAGGCGACGAUCCCUAGCUGGUCUGAGAGGAUGAUCAGCCACACUGGAACUGAGACACGGUCCAGACUCCUACGGGAGGCAGCAGUGGGGAAUAUUGCACAAUGGGGGAAACCCUGAUGCAGCCAUGCCGCGUGUGUGAAGAAGGCCUUCGGGUUGUAAAGCAAUGUCAGCGAGGAGGAAAGGUUGAUGCCUAAUAC